rnacentral:rRNA from 1 species
GAUGAACGCUGGCGGCGUGCCUAAUACAUGCAAGUCGAGCGAACAGACGAGGAGCUUGCUCCUCUGACGUUAGCGGCGGACGGGUGAGUAACACGUGGAUAACCUACCUAUAAGACUGGGAUAACUUCGGGGAACCGGAGCUAAUACCGGAUAACAUGUUGAACCGCAUGGUUCAACAGUGAAAGACGGUUUUGCUGUCACUUAUAGAUGGAUCCGCGUCGCAUUAGCUAGUUGGUAAGGUAACGGCUUACCAAGGCAACGAUGCGUAGCCGACCUGAGAGGGUGAUCGGCCACACUGGAACUGAGACACGGUCCAGACUCCUACGGGAGGCAGCAGUAGGGAAUCUUCCGCAAUGGGCGAAAGCCUGACGGAGCAACGCCGCGUGAGUGAAGAAGGUCUUCGGAUCGUAAAACUCUGUUAUUAGGGAAGAACAAAUGUGUAAGUAACUAUGCACGUCUUGACGGUACCUAAUCAGAAAGCCACGGCUAACUACGUG